rnacentral:rRNA from 1 species
UACGAAGGGUGCUAGCGUUGCUCGGAAUCACUGGGCGUAAAGGGUGCGUAGGCGGGUCUUUAAGUCAGGGGUGAAAUCCUGGAGCUCAACUCCAGAACUGCCUUUGAUACUGAAGAUCUUGAGUCCGGGAGAGGUGAGUGGAACUGCGAGUGUAGAGGUGAAAUUCGUAGAUAUUCGCAAGAACACCAGUGGCGAAGGCGGCUCACUGGCCCGGUACUGACGCUGAGGCACGAAAGCGUGGGGAGCAAACAGG